rnacentral:rRNA from 1 species
UACGUAGGGUGCGAGCGUUAAUCGGAAUUACUGGGCGUACAGAGUGCGUAGGCGGUUCGUUAUGUCUGCUGUGAAAGCCCCGGGCUUAACCCGGGAAUGGCAGUGGAAACUGGCGGGCUUGAGUGUGGCAGAGGGGGGUGGAAUUCCGCGUGUAGCAGUGAAAUGCGUAGAGAUGCGGAGGAACACCGAUGGCGAAGGCAGCCCCCUGGGCUAACACUGACGCUGAGGCACGAAAGCGUGGGGAGCAAACAGG